rnacentral:rRNA from 1 species
UGGGUGGGCCCUCGAAAUCCUGUGGUGGGAGGAUUCAGUCUGGAGCUGCGGGCGCGAUGGCCGGAAGACCGAGCAGGGCUUCCCCGGACGGGGGCCGUUCGGCCGCGCGUAUCCCGUGGUACCCGACGCAUUUGUCUCCCGCCCGAAGGACGCCGCAGCCGGUUGGGUAGUGCAAGCGCGACGGCCUGAAGGUCGGACGAUGGCAGGUGGCCGGUGGGGGGUCUCGUACCCUCCGCCGGUUGUUAGCCGGUCCGUCAGUGGCUCGUCACCCGACCGAGGUGUCACGAGGCCCUUCGGGGCCAGAACGUUUCCUCCUGGAUGUCGGGACAGAGCGUCGCAGGCGAAUUCCGCCGCGAAGUCGCACUCCCGAGAGUGGACGCGCGAGCGGAGCGCACCGUUGGCGGCGCCGGAUCCGUCGGAGGCUGGAGGCUGGCGGCGAGUAGGUCGGUCACCCACCCGACCCGUCUUGAAACACGGACCAAGGAGUCUAACAUGUGCGCGAGUCAGUGGGUCUUGAACAGGCCCACGGGCGCAAUGAAAGCAAAGGUCGUCCUCACGUCGACCGAGUUGGGAUCCCGUCCCCUCGGGGUCGGGCGCACCAACGACCCGUCCUCUCCGGCUCGCCGGUUGGGCGGAGUGUGAGCGUACACGUUGGGACCCGAAAGAUGGUGAACUAUGCCCGGACAGGACGAGGCCAGAGGAAACUCUGGUGGAGGUCCGCANCGGUUCUGACGUGCAAAUCGAUCGUCAGAUCCGGGUCUAGNGNCA